rnacentral:miRNA from 10 species
ACAUACUUCUUCAUAUACCCAUA